GACAGAGGAUGCAAGCGUUUAUCCGGAAUGAUUGGGCGUAAAGCGUCUGUAGGUGGCUUUUUAAGUCCGCCGUCAAAUCCCAGGGCUCAACCCUGGACAGGCGGUGGAAACUACCAAGCUGGAGUACGGUAGGGGCAGAGGGAAUUUCCGGUGGAGCGGUGAAAUGCGUAGAGAUCGGAAAGAACACCGAUGGCGAAGGCACUUUACUGGGCUAUUACUAACACUGAGAGACGAAAGCUAGGGUAGCAAAUGGG
rnacentral:rRNA from 1 species